rnacentral:rRNA from 1 species
GACGAACGCUGGCGGCGUGCUUAACACAUGCAAGUCGAACGGAAAGGCCCUGCUUUUGUGGGGUGCUCGAGUGGCGAACGGGUGAGUAACACGUGAGUAACCUGCCCUUGACUUUGGGAUAACUUCAGGAAACUGGGGCUAAUACCGGAUAGGAGCUCCUGCUGCAUGGUGGGGGUUGGAAAGUUUCGGCGGUUGGGGAUGGACUCGCGGCUUAUCAGCUUGUUGGUGGGGUAGUGGCUUACCAAGGCUUUGACGGGUAGCCGGCCUGAGAGGGUGACCGGCCACAUUGGGACUGAGAUACGGCCCAGACUCCUACGGGAGGCAGCAGUGGGGAAUAUUGCACAAUGGGCGGAAGCCGGAGGCAGAAACGCCGCGUGCGGGAUGACGGCCUUCGGGUUGUAAACCGCUUUCGCCUGUGACGAAGCGUGAGUGACGGUAAUGGGUAAAGAAGCACCGGCUAACUACGUG